UUUAAAGUCUAAUCUGCCCAAUGAUUAAAUUAAAUGGCCGCAGUAAUUUGACUGUGCAAAGGUAGCAUAAUCAUUAGUUUUUUAAUUGAAAGCUGGAAUGAAUGGUUGGACGAGAAAAAUACUGUCUCAAUUUAAUUUUAAUUAGAAUUUUAUUUUUAAGUUAAAAAGCUUAAAUGAUUUUAAAAGACGAGAAGACCCUAUAGAGUUUUAUAAUUAAGUUUAUUUUGUUUUUGAUGAAUAUUUAUAUAAUAUAAAUUUUAUUAUUUUGUUGGGGUGAUUGAAAAAUUAAUUAAACUUUUUUUUAUUAGUAACAUAAUUUUAUGAUUAAUUGAUCCAUUAUUAUUGAUUAAAAGAUUAAAUUACCUUAGGGAUAACAGCGUAAUUUUUUUUGAGAGUUCUUAUUGAAAAAAAAGUUUGCGACCUCGAUGUUGGAUUAAAAUUAAUUUUUGGCGUAGGGGCUAGAAAAUUGGGUCUGUUCGACCUUUAAAAUUUUACAUGAUCUGAGUUCAAACCGG
rnacentral:rRNA from 1 species